UACGUAGGGUGCAAGCGUUGUCCGGAAUUAUUGGGCGUAAAGAGCUCGUAGGCGGCUUGUCGCGUCGACCGUGAAAACUUGGGGCUCAACCCUAAGCCUGCGGUCGAUACGGGCAGGCUCGAGUUCGGUAGAGGAGACUGGAAUUCCUGGUGUAGCGGUGGAAUGCGCAGAUAUCAGGAGGAACACCGGUGGCGAAGGCGGGUCUCUGGGCAGUAACUGACGCUGAGGAGCGAAAGCGUGGGGAGCGAACAGG
rnacentral:rRNA from 1 species